CCGGUUGAUCCUGCCGGAGGCUACCGCUAUUGGAGUUCGAUUAAGCCAUGCGAGUCGCGAGUCUUAGGGACUCGGCGUACCGCUCAGUAACACGUGGGUAACCUGCCCUAUGCUGGGAGAUAACCUCGGGAAACUGAGAAUAAUACCCCGUAGUUCACCAUGCCUGGAACGGUGGGUGGACCAAAGCUCCGGCGGCAUAGGAUGGGCCUGCGGCGUAUCAGGUUGUAGGGGGUGUAAUGUACCCUCUAGCCCUCUACGCGUACGGGUGUUGAGAGACAUCGCCCGGAGAUGGAUUCUGAGACACGAAUCCAGACCCUACGGGGUGCAGCAGGCGCGAAAACUUGGCAAUGCGAGAAAUCGUGACCAGGGAACUCCAAGUGCAUCGGGUAAGACCGAUGCUUUUCUUGACUCUUCAAAGGUCUUGGAAUAAGGGGUGGGUAAGGACGGUGCCAGCCGCCGCGGUAAUACCGGCGCCCCAAGUGGUAGUCGCUUUUAUUGGGCCUAAAACGUCCGUAGCCGGUCUGGUACAUUCGUGGGUAAAUCAACCAGCUCAACUGGUUGAAUUCUGCGAGCACGGCCAGACUUGGGACCGGGAGAGGUGUGGGGUACUCUCAGGGUAGGGGUAAAAUCCUGUCAUCCUGAGAGGACCACCUGUUGCGAAGGCGCCACACUAGAACGGAUCCGACGGUCAGGGACGAAGCCUAGGGGCACGAACCGGAUUAGAUACCCGGGUAGUCCUAGGUGUAAACGCUGUGGACUUGAUGUUGGGGGCGCUCCGAGCGCACUCAGUGUCGAAGCGAAGGUGAUAAGUCCACUGCCUGGGGAGUACGGUCGCAAGGCUGAAACUUAAAGGAAUUGGCGGGGGAGCACCGCAACCUGAGGAUUGUGCG
rnacentral:rRNA from 1 species